rnacentral:rRNA from 1 species
AGUUUCGAAUCAUUCACAAUGGGCGAAAGCCUGAUGGUGCGACGCCGCGUGAGGGAUGAAGGUCUUCGGAUUGUAAACCUCUGUCACUGGGGAGAAAACGCUUUGAGUUAAUAGUUCAAAGCCUGAUUUAACCCGGAGAGGAAGCAGUGGCUAACUCUGUGCCAGCAGCCGCGGUAAUACAGAGACUGCAAGCGUUAUUCGGAUUCACUGGGCGUAAAGGGUGCGCAGGCGGCCGUGUGUGUUAGAUGUGAAAUCCCGGGGCUCAACCCCGGAACUGCGUCUAAAACUACAUGGCUAGAGUAUUGGAGAGGGUAACGGAAUUCACGGUGUAGCAGUGAAAUGCGUAGAUAUCGUGAGGAACACCAGAGGCGAAGGCGGUUACCUGGACAAUUACUGACGCUCAGGCACGAAAGCAUGGGGAGCAAA